rnacentral:rRNA from 1 species
CCCUUAGAUGUUCUGGGCCGCACGCGCGCUACACUGAUGCAUUCAACAAGCCUAGCCUUGACCGAGAGGUCCGGGUAAUCUUUGAAACUGCAUCGUGAUGGGGCUAGAUUAUUGCAAAUAUUAAUCUUGAACGAGGAAUUCCUAGUAAGCGCAAGUCAACAGCUUGCGUUGAUUACGUCCCUGCCCUUUGUACACACCGCCCGUCGCUACUACUGAUUGGAUGUUUAAGCGAGGUUCUCGAACUGCUAGCGACUUAGCUUCGGUGAGGUCGCAGUGUGGGAAGUGAACCUAGCUUUGGUGUCUAGAGGAAGUAAAAGUCGUAACA